GGGCCGUUAGCUCAGCUGGCAGAGCAAAUGACUCUUAAUCAUUAGGUCCUCGGUUCGAUCCCGAGACGGCUCACCA
rnacentral:tRNA from 2 species